UUGUGCUGUAAUUUAAACAUAUCCGGUAGAGAAACUGCCAGGGACUAGGGUUUCCAUCCUGCUGCAUGUCCACCCUUCUGGAGCCAUCUUAUUUGCGGCUUGACCUCCCUGCACAAGGGAUUCUGGGGAUUGUGGUUUCCGAAUGGAUCGAGGCCGACACCUGAAGGACGCGGCUUAACCACUUAGCCCCUAGUCGUCCUGCAGGGCUUACCGAUGUCACCUGGGCAGAGCUGAAAGAGGAUUCCCCUCUUGAUGCUGAUUUUACCCGAUCACCUGAGUGCCGAGAGUGGGAGUGGACAACGUGAUUUCAUCUGCCAAACAGGCAAAAGAUUUGGAAGGCUGGGACAUUUCUUCUCCCCAUGGAAUGAGUAAGGUGAAGAGGAAUAGAAAACCGGUAUGAACGUUGGUAAGGGAAGAUGGGAGCCCAAGAUGGAUGAUGGUAUGUGAGAAGGCCCGGAGCUGCUCCAAGACAGACUCACCUGAUGAAGGAACACAAAGGCCAGGCUACCUGCCUUGAAUAGGAGAAGGAACAUUCUACCUUAGCAUGAACAAAAACCCAACUGCACAGAAACUGCACUUUCCGCUGCUCUGUCCUCCAUCAGAGGGCGGGACAAGGACAGUCCGCCAUCUGCAUCCCUGUCCCAUAUGGGUUCCCAGUGACAGCACUGCCUGGUGGAUGACGUCUCUCCAAGCUGUGCAAGACUCCAGCCUGGAUUCUGAGCACAUUCUGACCUCCCUCUUUUGGAGACUUCUCCUUCCAGAUCUCCAUCCACAAGCCCUGCUCUUUCCCACCUGUUGAGGCUGGGCCCUGGGCUGGGGGACAGGGUGGAUAGGUGAGAGCGUCGGGAUGGACAGCCCCACUCAAAUCUCAUGGAAUGGGGAUUGACUUUCUCCAAAGGAGGGAAGUGUACUGUUUCUUGAAGGAAGGAAGGAUGGCGUGAGGACCAAAGGCAUUCACCACAGGACUUCAGAUAUAAAUGAGUCGACAGAAAAUAAACAUCUAUUCCGGACAAUCCAAGCAGCAGGGAGCACGGGAAGAUUGGAGAGCGGGGCGUCAGUCAGUGGCCGAGACCUCUCAGAGGACUAAAGCCUUCUUCUGGGCCAGCAUCAGGGUCCAAACCCCGUCCAGCCAGCCUGCUCUCCACGAUGUAUCCACCGCUGGGCCCGCUACCCCCCGCUGUGGACACAGGCUUUACCAAACAUCCACGCUUUAUUUCCUGGGACCCAGGCCGUGUUGAAAGGCUGGUAGGCUUUCAGUGAACGUCUUGUGUUGCCCACUCAGUUCCUAAGCAUGGGAGAGCGCUUACGUUGGGCCAGAUCCCCGGACGGGGACCUCAUUUGCGGUGAGAUGUCCUGGAAGGCACCCACGGUUCAGCCUGAGCCCAACCAAUAGCCAGGCACCUGCAUCCAGAGGGGCUUGAGUCAGCUGGUAGGAUGCUGGGCCUGCUCCAGGUCUGGGUUCAAAACCACAGUUUUCCCCUUGUAUUUCCCGGGGCUUGUUCACAGUGCCCCCUGCGGGCCAUUUCUGGUUAACGUGUCUUCUGGACCCCAGGUCAAUUCUGUUCCUGACGCCUAAUCCACCGCCCUCUAGGGUGGCGCAGUGAAGUCAGAUAAUAGAUGGGAAGAUGCUCUGGAGAGCGAAAAAGGAAAACUAUACAAAUGCAAUGGACAGUUAUUAUAAAGCCAAGAUUGAGGACAGAACUAAAUGCUUCCCUCAUCCUCAGAACUUGCCUCAUCAUGUAUAACUUUUCAGUAGCAUAUUAUUUCAGUGGACAGAAAUUAGUUGUACUGGACUGAAUUAUUAUGCCCCCAAAUUCAUGUGUUGAAAUCCUAACCUCCAGUUCUUCAGAAUGUGGCUGUAUUUGGAGACAGGCCCUUGAAAGCAGUAGUGAAGUUAAAAUGAGGUCAUUAGGGUGGGCGGUAAUUCAGUGUAACUGGUAUCCUUACAAGAGAAAGAAAUUAGGACCUAGACACACAUGUGAAGACAGAGAGAGAAGACAGAUACCUAGAAGCGGAAGAGAAGGGCCUCAGGUGAAACCAAGCUUGCUAAUGUCUUGAUCUCAGACUUCUAGCCUCCAGAAACGUUAGAAAAAUGCCUAUCGUUCAAGCCACGCAGUCUAUAGGGGUUGGGCUGUACCCCGCAGGCCUGCAAGGCCUGUACUUGCCCACCCCUGAGACCAAAGAAAGAUCCCGGAGUCAGCAACAGACACCAGUGGUUUAAUGGAUGGGGGAUCUUAAACGUCUGAAGCAGGGUCCUGGAGCAGCACCCCACUGUGUGCGGCAGACGAAGAUCACUCAGGAGAUAUAUCCAAGUGAGAACACAACAGGAGGCAGUUUCAACAGAAGGCUGUUCCAGGAAUCCAGGUGAGAGAUCAGAGCAAAAAAUGACUCCCAAGUUCUUGGCUUUGCCGUUGGCUGGAGCGAUAG